GUUGCAGUUGUGUUCGUUUUAGUUUGGCUGGCCCAGUGCGUUCCAUUUGUCCUCCGGUGUGACGCCGUUCCCAGAACACCCCGGGGGGGGGGCGGGGCGGGGCCACUGCAGGGCUGAAGUCACAUGAGCAGAGCCAGGCUGACCAAUUCCAAUAUGGUGGCCAGCUUGGCAGGUCUACGGUUCCUGUUGAUGAUAUUGUUGUUCUGCGGGAUUAGAUACGGCGCCUGCAGCCAGGAAGCUCCGCUGGUUCUGGGGCUGCGACUGGAAGACCCGACGGGUCUGGUGUGUAUGAAGGAGCGCAUCAUCUCGGCGCCGGAAGGAGCCACGUUCAAGCUCCGUCUGUUCGGGACUGGGCUGAAUGGAAACUGGACAUGGGUGGCGUUCGCAGCGGGGUCGGUCGGGGACGCGCCGGACCCGUGCGCGCAGGAGUCCAACCGCCAGGAGUCCGCUUUCCAGGUGACGGGUGAAAUCACCCGGGACGAGGAGAACAGCCGGCUCGUGGACGUGGAGGUCCGGCGGAGGAGCAUCUCCACCCGCGAGGAGACCUACUACCAGCUGUGCGUGCUGAGCGGAGAGAAAUGGGCUUCCGUGGGCUCGGAAAGACUGCGCGUCAACACCGACGCGUCGGGUCCACCCGCAGACCACAUCCCGCCGUGGGGUCUGGCCGUGCUGGUCGUGCUGCUGCUCCUGGUCUGCGGGACGCUGAGGACCGUGAACCUGAGCCUGCUGUGGCUGGACCCCGUGGAGCUUUACGUCCUCCACAGCUGCGGAUCCGAGGAGGAGAAGCGGGCCGCCAAGCGCCUCGAGCCCAUCCGGCGCAGGGGCAACUUCUUGACAUGUUCUUUGCUGUUCCUGUGUGCUGUGGGACACUCUGUCCUCGGCGUCCUCCUGUACCGGGCGCUGGGCUCCAUCGUCUCCGCCGUGUUCACCAGCGGCCUCCUCAUCUUCUUCCUGGCUGAGCUGGGUCCUCACGUGCUGUGCUCCGGUUACGGGUUCCAGCUGGCGCCGGCUCUGACCUGGCUGGCCCAGGUUUGCUUGGUGCUCACCUGCCCCCUGUCCUGCCCUCUGGGGCUGAUCCUGGACCUGGGCCUGAGGCGGGACAUCAGCACCUGUGGGAUCAGGGAGAGGACCAUGGAGAUGAUCCGCACAAGCGUCAACGACCCUUACAGUGAGUUUGUGAAGGAGGAGUUCAGCCGCGGGACGCUGCGCACUAAGACGGUGGAGGACAUCCUGACGCCCCUGAAGGACUGCUUCAUGCUGCCCAGCUCGGUCGUCCUGGACUUCUCCACCAUGUCCGACAUCAUGCAGUGCGGGUACACCCGGGUUCCCAUCUACGAGGAGGAGAGGUCCAACAUUGUGGAAAUCCUGUACGUGAAGGACUUGGCGCUGGUGGACCCGGACGACUGCACCCCCAUGACGACCAUCACCAAGUUCUACAACCACCCGCUGCACUACGUCUUCAACGACACCAAGCUGGACGCCAUGCUGGAGGAGUUCAAGAAAGGUAACUCUCACAUGGCGAUCGUCCAGAAGGUGAACAACGAGGGGGAGGGCGACCCUUUCUACGAGGUGCUGGGAUUGGUCACGCUGGAGGACGUCAUCGAGGAGAUCAUCAAGUCCGAGAUCCUGGACGAGUCCGACGGAUACCUAGACAGGAAGGUGAAGCGUCCUCUCGCUCCGCUGGAGAUUCCUCUGGAGCCUCGCUGCGUCCACGAGGAGUUCUCUCUCUUCAAACCUCCUGAAGGAGAAGCCAAGAUCCGAACCUCACCACAACUACUGCUGGCUACACACCGCUUCCUGUCCAGAGAGGUGUCCCACUUCAGCCCGGGCCGCGUGUCGGAGAAGGUCCUGUUCCACCUGCUCCGUCACCCCAGUGUCAACCAAGAAGUGCACUUCGAUCCGAAUAACCGGCUGAGCCCGGGUCACUAUCUCUACACGCGCAACCACCCGGUCGACUACUUCAUCCUGCUGCUGCAGGGUCGUGUGGAGGUGGAAAUCGGCAAAGAGGGGCUGAAGUUUGAGAACGGAGCGUUUACCUACUACGGCAUGUCUGCGCUAACGCUGCCAUCUUCAGUGCACCAGUCCCCAGUGUCGACGCAGCGUCACUCUCCCAAUGAUCCCUUUGAGUCAGCAGACGCUACGACCCCGUCCAACUAUUGUCCCGACUACACCGUCCGAGCUCUCACCGACCUGCAGCUCAUACGGGUGACACGUCUCCAGUAUCUGAACGCUCUCAUGGCGUCGCGGGUCGGUCCGAGUCCAGAUCCUCCCGAGAUUAAGAUCCUGCCCAACAGUCAGACCAAGCUGCUCAACGAGAGAAACACCACACAGCAAGGUGCCAGUAGCGCCCAGGAGAGGUUCACAGAAGAGGAGGCUCAUGGGUAGUGCGGUUCCGACGUGCUUCAACCAAGUAGAGCUUUUUUAGUUAGUUUUUAUUGCUGAAUCAUCAAUGGCUGGAACGUAGUUAUUGGACAAGACUGGAGCGAGAGUGUUUAGAUCUGCUGCUCACACGUCUCAUCUCCAGCUCCUUUCCUUUGUGUCCUUUCCAUUGCAAUUAUUAUUUCAUGCGUUUUUAUACACUUUGGAAUAUGUGUGUUGUGUGUGUGUGUGUGUGUGUGUGUGUGUGUGUGUGUGUGUGUGUGUGUGUGUGUGUGUGUGUGUGUGUGUGUGUGUGUGUGUGUGUGUGUGUGUGUGUGUGUGUGUGUGUGUGUGUGUGUGUGUGUGUGUGUGUGUGUGUGUGUGUGUGUGUGUGUGUGUGUGUGUGUGUGUGAGAGACACUAUCUCACUAGUACAUGUCAGCAACCAAGCAUCCAGUCUUCAUCUUUACUCCAUAUUUCGAUGAUAGCCUAACAUUGUAAGCAGUCCUUGUUGCAUGUGUGUGUAAUCAUGUGUAAUAUGUCAGAAAUGGCCUCUAAAAAACCCGAAUCCUUUGUGCUCCCUGUGUUUGUACAUAAAUAUAUUAACAAUAAAGACGAUUCCCUGUGUGCGGUUCAACCGGAUAUUUAAAAAAACAUGUUUUAAUGCGGUACUCACAUUCCCAUGCGGACAGUAUGACAAGGCAGUCAUUGGUCGUCAUGGCGACUCCUUCAUAUGGCGACUACAAAAAUCAGAGACAAAGGAAAUGUUAAGCGUAUUUUAGUAAGUUUUGCUUUAGAAAAUGUUGAUGGAAAUGGCUAAAUUUGAGAAAAAAAAAUCCUCAAAUUUGACAUAAAGUCUUUACGCUCGCAUGAGGCGGCUUUUGCCUUUUUCCAAUAAAAGACAAUGUGCAAAAUUGGAGAAGGAAACUUGGCAAUUAGAUGAAAACAUGUCUAAUAUUUAGUUAAAAGAUGGACUUUAAAGUUUGAAUUAACAGCUAAACUCAAGUUGAAGGCGAUUAUUUUGAUUUGUUGCAGAAUUACUGCAGUGGUGAAAGAAGUGUUUAAGGUGGUCCUCAUUUUAAAUCAUUUUAAUGUUUAACACACCUGUGUAUUUUAGUUUAUUCGACCGCAAUGCAAACAGAGCAAAUACUCAGAACAAGAACUCUUUAAUUUGUACUUAAGCACAAUACUUUACUAAGUGUGAGUAAUUACCAUUCACCACUGCAUCGUGUCUCUCCCGCUCUAACUUCAGACUGAGUUUUUGCACAGCACAAAAGGGUAAAAAGACGUGAAUUUUGUCCGUUUCUUAGAGCGUAGUAGUAGAUUUCUUCUCCACCAGCAUGAAGCCUGACAGAUUACUCUCUCCCAACAUACACAACACACAGUAUGGCAUGUGAGUAUUGUGUUAAAAACAAACCGAAAAUAAAAAUCCGAACCUUAACAUGCAGCAGGGUUGUUUCCGGGUCGGCUCUGAGUUACGGCUGUUUUACAUAAGCUCCAUUUCUGUCUCUUUUUGUACUUUUGAUCGUGUGUGUGUGUGUGUGUGUGUGUGUGUGUGUGUGUGUGUGUGUGUGUGUGUGUGUGUGUGUGUGUGUGUGUGUGUGUGUGUGUGUGUGUGUGUGUGUGUGUGUGUGUGUGUGUGUGUGUGUGUGUGUGUGUGUGUGUGUGUGUGUGUGUGUGUGUGUGUGUGUGUGAGAUGUACCAUUGCCAUAUUCCAGGAGAAAUCUUUUGUGAUUCUGAGUAAAUAUUUUGCAGCUGUUUUCAUAUAUUUUGAUCUGUUUUAAUAAGUUGAUUUCAACGAUAUCAGGAGACUGAAUGUAAAAAGAUUACUUUGUACUUAUGCUGAUUGAGAGGAUGUUGGGUUAAAGACGCGUGUAUUAAUAUAUGACUCCUUUAGAUAGAAUAUCAUUUGAAGAUGUAGUUUAGAGGUAGUCCGUUUUUCAGGUACAAUAACACUGUUACUAAGAGGUAUUGACAAAUGUCACCAGGUAAAGCAAUUCUUCUUUCUGUCCAGGUUACUUUUCAAUACAACUUCUUCCAUUUUAUUUUAUUUUUUGGGGGAGUGCUGUUCCCAAAGGUUUUUUGGGGGGGUGCAUUGAGACUAAGCAUUGCAUUUAACACUUCCAAUGUAAUCCCGUUUAUUAGAAAAUAAACUUAAUCCUGGUUUAAAUUG